rnacentral:rRNA from 1 species
GAUGAACGCUGGCGGCGUGCCUAAUACAUGCAAGUCGAGCGAAGCGGGGACGGGUGAGUAACACGUGGGUAACCGCCGAUAAGACUGGGUUAACUUCGGGAACCCGGAGCUAAACCCGUUACUUAUAGAUGGAUCCGCGCUGGAUUAGCUGGUUGGUAAGGUAACGGCUUACCAAGGCAACGAUGCAUAGCCGACCUGAGAGGGUGAUCGGCCACACUGGAACUGAGACACGGUCCAGACGCCUACGGGAGGCAGCAGUAGGGAAUCUUCCACAAUGGGCGAAAGCCUGACGGAGCAAUGCCGCGUGAGUGAUGAAGGCCUUCGGAUUGUAAAACACUUUCAGUAGGGAGGCGGUACCUAAUCAGAAAGCCCCGGCUAACUCCGUGCCAGCAGCCGCGGUAAUUC